AAUUUCUUCUUGCAUUUUGAGGUGACUGAACUGUAAAUUCUGUGUUUUUGUCACUCUUGCAAGAAUAACUGAUUUUUUCCUCAUUGUUAAUAAUCAGCUUAGCACACAAUUAUCUGAACUGUGAAGGAAUUCUCCAUGCAAUUUUAAGCUUGGUUCAGGUAUUUACAUUUGGUUUACUGUUACUGCAGACUUACUGUUAUGGUGGAUUACUUUAUAUACUUGGGAUGUGAAGUGAGUUGGGAGUCUUUCACCGCUAGUUUAUAUUUACUCAGCUAUACUUGUUAGCAUUUUGCUUUUUUAGAUACAAUUUUUCAAGGGCAUUGGAAGCAAAUUCAAAGCAUCUUUAUGUCUCUUAGGAAAUGCAUGCGUUUUUGCGUUUCUAGUGAUUGUCUGUAGAUACAUAACAACUAUUUCUGUUGCUUCUCUUUGUUGAUGAUUUAAAACUAGGCUCUCAUAAACAAUUUAAAAUAUGCACGCAUUAAAUGCAAUUACUUCUCAAAAAGGGAAAAAAACUACAGGACUUAUUUACAAUUUCAGCAAAACUGGGGAUUUUAAAUUCAAGUUAAAUUUUAGUGUGGUUGAAAAAUGCUUGAACUUCCAAUUUUUCUAGAAGCUUGCAUGUGUCAAAAGAACCAAAACAACUUAAUGAAAUAUAUAUUUGUUAUGUUAUGAAGAGUGCGAUGGAUGUGCUAUGCAACUGUAGGAUCCCUGACAAA
rnacentral:misc_RNA from 1 species